UUAGAGUUUGAUCCUGGCUCAAGAUGACCCCUUUCGGCAGGCUUAACACAUGCAAGUCGAGGGGCAGCAUGUCCAGCAAUGGAUGAUGGCGACCGGCGGAAGGGUGCGUAACGCGUGAGCAACAUGCCCUAUACAGGGAGAUACACCAGGGAAACUUGGUCUAAUAUCCCAUAUCAUUCAUUGAAGGCAUCUUUAAUGAAUUAAAGCUUCGGUGGUAUAGGAUUGGCUCGCGUGACAUUAGCCAGAUGGUGAGGUAACGGCUCACCAUAGCAAUGAUGUCUAGGGGUUUUGAGAGGAAGGCCCCCCACACUGGGACUGAGACACGGCCCAUACUUCUACGGGAGGCAGCAGUGAGGAAUAUUGGACAAUGGAUGGAAAUCUGAUCCAGCCAUGCCGCGUGCAGGAAGACGGCCUUAUGGGUUGUAAACUGCUUUUAUACGGGAGCAAUAAGGGUUACGAGUAAUCCGAUGAGAGUACUGUAUGAAUAAGGAUCGGCUAACUCCGUGCCAGCAGCCGCGGUAAUACGGAGGAUCCGAGCGUUAUCCGGAAUUAUUGGGUUUAAAGGGUGCGUAGGCGGCCAUUUAAGUCAGCGGUGAAAUUUUGCAGCUUAACUGUAACAGUGCCGUUGAUACUGUUUGGCUAGGAUUUGGUUGUAGUGUGCGGAAUGUGUGGUGUAGCGGUGAAAUGCUUAGAUAUCACACAGAACACCGAUUGCGAAGGCAGCACACUAAGUCAUUAUUGACGCUGAGGCACGAAAGUGUGGGGAUCAAACAGGAUUAGAUACCCUGGUAGUCCACACUGUAAACGAUGAUAACUCGCUGUCGGCGAUACACAGUCGGUGGCCAAGCGAAAGCAUUAAGUUAUCCACCUGGGGAGUACGACCGCAAGGUUGAAACUCAAAGGAAUUGACGGGGGCCCGCACAAGCGGAGGAACAUGUGGUUUAAUUCGAUGAUACGCGAGGAACCUUACCCGGGUUUGAACGGCAGGGGACUGAGGUGGAAACAUCUCAUCCAGCAAUGGUCCCUGUCGAGGUGCUGCAUGGUUGUCGUCAGCUCGUGCCGUGAGGUGUCGGCUUAAGUGCCAUAACGAGCGCAACCCUUGCUGUCAGUUGCUAACAGGUAAAGCUGAGGACUCUGGCGGGACUGCCAGCGUAAGCUGUGAGGAAGGCGGGGAUGACGUCAAAUCAGCACGGCCCUUACAUCCGGGGCGACACACGUGUUACAAUGGCGUGGACAAAGGGCAGCCACUUGGCGACAAGGAGCCAAUCCCGAAACCACGUCUCAGUUCGGAUCGGAGUCUGCAACUCGACUCCGUGAAGCUGGAUUCGCUAGUAAUCGCGCAUCAGCCAUGGCGCGGUCAAUACGUUCCCGGGCCUUGCACACAGCGCCCGUCAAG
rnacentral:rRNA from 1 species